AAGAGGCGGUGCCCAGAGGGUCAUCCUCUGCAGCCAUUGGAGGAAGGCCGGGAGCUAGGCGGGGAGGUAGCGGCUCUCGUUAGGGGCAAUUGAGUUGGUCACCUACCUUUCUGAGACGGGCCUCAGGGAGCUGAGUGGGCAGCGGUUCGUGCGAGCCACAGCUAGGCGGGGAGCCCGGGCAUCUUUGCGUCGUACCUGUGAGCCACGUUACUGCUUAUCUUGCAAAAGUUACAAGUCUGUCUUAAGCCCGCACACCGCUUGGGUGAGCCCGUCCAUUCGUCUUGACUUGACUUGAAUUAUAAGUGACUACAAGUCUUUAUUUCCAGCCCAGAAAUCUCUCCUGAGCUAUUGAGUCGCUAUCCGGGCGCUCCUUUGGUUAUCGAUUUGGGUUUUACUCAUUCAGCAGACAUUUGCUGCACGUCCUCCGUGUACCAGGCAUCUUGGUCAGUGCUACAGGUGCAGUGGUGAACGGGAUGAGAAGGGUUCCUGCUUUUAGGGCACUCACAGUGUAGUGGUGGAAGCUAACUGUAAUCAGAGAAACAGAUCAAUCAUACUAAUAAAUAGAAAACCUCUAACUGAAAGAAGUGACCUGAAGUUAUAGGAACUUCAAAAAGAAAACCAAUUGGGCUGGACACAGCUAAGCAAUAAAGCUGAGUAACGUAGGUGGAUGUGAGGGUGGAGAGAAACCUCUGAAACAUUCCAAUGAGGAGGACAGAAGAUGCCAAGGCCCUGAGUUGGAGACCAUGCUGGGACACCAAGAGAGGAAAGUGGAAUUUGGGGAGCAGAGGGGCUGGGGCAUCACCCCUACAGGGCAGGAGAGACUGGCGCAGUGAGACACGCCCCCGGGGCCAACAUCACACAGCUCAUCAACGCUGGAACUGGGAUUUGAACCUAGGUCUGUUGGCCGGCGCUGCAGAACCGGCCGGGAGCCAGACGGGUGGGUAAGGACAUCAUCCUGGCCCCUCCAGCCCCAGCUGAGUCACAAGCGAUGGCAGCUCUUCCACUCCAGGGGGGGCCAGCAGAAGAACCGCUCAGCUGAACUUGACCCCAAAUUGCUGACCCACCACUGAGAGCAAAAACAUGACUGUUUUAUGCCCUAAAGUAAGUUUUGGGGUGUUUGUGCUGUAGCAAAGCCUCUGAAACCUGAGGGCUGACAGCUUCCCUGCCUCUCCUGCACAGAGAAGUCAGCUGUCACCCAAAAACUCAGGAGCUCUCAGGCUCAGUCACACACUGUUUCAGGUGCUCCUAGGGGCCUACUACCUGGCAGGGGCCACCUCGGUCAGGGCAGGCCUUCCAGCAGGGCAGGGGUUGACAUGAUGAGCGUAUGGGAGGUGGCCUGAGGCUGAGCAGGGGGAGAGUCCGGACAGGGCAACAAGCACUAAGGCAAGCUGGGGGCAGGACUGGGCAGGACCCCCAGACUUCCUGCCCAUCAGGGGACCCGUCAGUGGUCCAACAGCCAGAGGCUGGCACUGCCCUGCUAUGUGACCGUGGACCCACCACUCACCUCUCGCCUGGACAACAGCAAGAGCCCCUCACUUGUCUCCCCACCCCCCUGGAGCUGUCUGCAGCCCUCUCCUGCACUCCACAUGGCAUCCAGAGGACUGUGUGGAACAUGCACCCGACAUAGGUCACUGCUCUGCUCAAACACUUCUGUGGCUCCGUCCAGGCCCCUCCCCAGCCCACAGAGUCUUCUGGCCUCCACUGACCUCUCUGCCCCACCUGACAUCACUGCCUGCCCCCACCCCCCCUCCCUUGGCUCCAGCUUCGGGGGCCUCCUUUCCUUCCUCUCUUGGCCAAGCGCUGUCCUGUCUCAGGACCUGCCUGGAAUGCCUCCCACCCCACAAACCCUGCCCUUUCAUUCAGGUCUCAGCUCAAACAUCACUUCCUCAGGGGGGCCUCCCAGGCACCCCACCCCCAUUCAUUUGCUUUUCUGUCAGUGUGAUCUGUAUUCUAUCCUUUACAUUUGGAAUUCCGUGUCCUCUGCUGCCUCCCCUACCGCUGAACAGGCUUCAAGAAGGCAAAGGUCCCAUCAGAAUUUGUUACCUAUAUCCCCAAAAGCCUAGCACAGAGCCUGGCAGGCACGUAGUAGGUACUCAGUAAACAUUCAUCCCGCUAA